CGAGACGAUUAUUUUGGGGCUCGGAAUUUGCCGUGACCGGUACGCAGUCAGUAUCGUGGGGCUCGGAGAGAGCUUUCCGGAUUGGGGUCGCAAUAGCUAUAUAUCUAAUUUCUUAUUAUUAAAGUGCAAUAGCUAACAAGUUCUAAUGCUAAGCGCUUUCCAAAGGUUAGAGCGACUGAUCAAGCUUUAGUAUUUGAAAGAAGUGCGGGGGCCUAUGUAGAUCCUUUAGCAGGUUCUUUUCUUUCUAUCUCUCCAUUUUCUUUCCUUUUCAUUCAUUCCAUAGGCGUAGUAUCAUUCUCACCAGCCCAGUACCAGAUCACUGCUUUGAGUUGAAGUUUCAGUUCCUCCCUUCUCCUGCUUUUCUAUUUGAUAGGCCCGACUUUACUGUAUUGAUUGCUCUCCCCUAGUUUUUGCUUUGUUCUCGCUCGGUUAAUGGACUUGAACCCGUCUUUAUAUUGAAAGUUUGUAACUUAGGCUUACUUACAUAGGGUGGAAUUCUCUUCGGACUCUUAAUAUGAAACAAAAGAGGAGGUUGAGCCCAUAGUCGAAGAAAGUGUGCUACUACCAAAGAAAUAAAGGCCAAGCGUAUACUCAAAAAGCAACGCGCCUUGCCUUGCUUCCUUCCUUUGCUAACCCUAUCCUAGC
rnacentral:lncRNA from 1 species